GCUCAACUGCCUCUUCCGGUUUCGGCUCAGUUACAACAGACCCCCGAGGAGUAACUUCCUGUUUGUCCGCUGUCUUAUCUAAAAGCUCCUAUACUGUUGAACACGCAGGGGCGGACAUACCCUUCAUAGGAUGAGUAUGCCCAACUCCGAAAAAUGUAGCCAAGAGAGAAGGCUUUGAUAGGAUGUCAGUGGAGAGCCCUGCCGCGAUUUACUCUACGCGGUCUUACCGCUGGCGGGGGUGCAAUCUGCAGCUCUACACCGAACUCUGGACUCCACUUUUCGCCUUCCAGGUUUCGCCCGCCUCCGACCUCCAGCUCCCUAAUCGGACAACGUCCCUUCGGGUCCGAUGCACGGAGACUGCCGCAUUUAAGCGAACCACAUUUAAGCGACUAAAUGGAUCCCUGUUCGGGCACCAGACGAAAAGGGUCCCCCGUGGAGAGUCAGCCAAGUCACGACAAUCACACCAAUAUGGCUACAUGCCGUGCUCACUUUAUUAAACAAACAGGUCAUAUUUAUAACUUAAACCGACCACUCACCCGACUUUACACACAGUUAUUCCAUGACAUAAUCUGAUGCCAUGACUUGGAUUCACACAUCUUGCUUCACCUGGGAGGACUGCAGACUGCUCCCUGCCAAAACCCCUUGGUGCCACUCAGAAAGGUGCGGGACCUUUCGACAUACCCAUUGGCUUGUUGAAAUGGUGUGCAAAUUAGAAGGAGCGAUCCCCCUUGUACCUGGCACUGCAAUAAACAUACUUGAUUUAUAACUCUC